UACGUAGGGACCGAGCGUUGUCCGGAAUCAUUGGGCGUAAAGAGCGUGUAGGCGGCCUGUUAAGUCUUGCGUGAAAUCUCGGGGCUCAACCCCGAGCGGUCGUGAGAAACUGGCAGGCUAGAGUGCGGAAGAGGAGAAUGGAAUUCCCGGUGUAGCGGUGAAAUGCGCAGAUAUCGGGAAGAACACCCGUGGCGAAGGCGGUUCUCUGGGACGGUACUGACGCUGAGACGCGAAAGCGUGGGGAGCGAACAGG
rnacentral:rRNA from 1 species